rnacentral:lncRNA from 1 species
CCGCUGGCAGCCUGCAGCAGCCUUUGUGCAUGGGAGGGCCUCUGUUCACUGGCUGAGGGUGGGCGGCUCUUUGCUGGGGGGCUGUCCUAGCCCCUCCGCGGACGCUUCUCUCCUGGCUCCGCUCAGGACUCAAUGUGGGUGUCCUUUCCUGCCGAGAGUUUCCUCUGGUGCAGGGCCAGCCGCCUCGGGUUGUUUCUCCUUUGGAAGGAUCUCUCUGGGACAGGGCCUGAACAGGACGGGUUUGGGGGCCUUCAUGAGCCACCCCCAUCCCUCUAGGCAACACUUGAUGCAGUGCAGAGAAGAAAGCUUAAAAGCCCGAAAAUGCUCCAUCUCCCUGAUGGUGUGGGAGAUGCGUGUGAGCGAGACACCCUCAGCUCCAAGGGUGGCACGCUGCUCCGUGGACCAGGCUGUGGAAGCAAUGCCUGUCAAAUCCACACAUGUAUAUUCUCUCUAUGCCCAGGCCCAUCUGGGGGAGGGCAGCCCAGAGACACGUGUGCACCUGUGUGGGCUGACCUAUGCGCAGUGUCACCAAUGUCUGUGACAUUGCUGUAAUGGCAACAAAGCUGGAGGCAACCCAGAUGCCCGUGGAAGGAAGAACAGCCACAGGAAGACCCAGUUCUGGCAGCUCAGCAUGCAGCCCAGAAACAGAAGAACAAAGCUGCAGAUACACAGCUGGGAAAGGCCACCGAGAUGCUUUGAUAAGUGAGAAGAGGAAAGCCCAGGAGCCGGCAUAGACUUUUCAUUCCUUUUGUAUUAAAAAUGCAGUGUUGGGGAGGUAACGCUGUAUAUUUCUGUUUGCAAGCAAUCUUUGGAGGGUGUUGCAUAACAGAAGAUGUAUCAGGUCUUUGUCCUGGAUCCUCGGAGGAAGCUUCUAAACCCUGGGGGUUUCUCAGAAGUGUGGAGCGUCUGCAUUAGUCCUGGCGGGCCCCUGGGACCACACCUGAGUUUAUGCUAAUGAGGUGACUCAGGGUGGGUUCCUACUGAAUUUCAGGAUGGGGACUGUCUGCUGAAAGACCCGUUAUUAGAGGGUUGGGGCUUUGAGCCACGGGAUGUCAGCCCAACCUCCCAGCAGUCAGAGAAGUGGGCUUCAAUCACCUAACCAAUCACUCCACCGAUCACGUUACACAGUGAAACCCCAAUAAAAC